AAUCAACGCUGGCGGCGCGCUUAACACAUGCAAGUCGAACGAGAAAGGGAGCAAUCCCUGAGUACAGUGGCGUACGGGUGAGUAACACGUGGAUGAUCUAUCUCUUAGUGGGGAAUAACUCUGGGAAACCGGAGAUAAUACCGCAUAAGCUCGAGAGAGGAAAGCAGCAAUGCGCUGAGAGAGGAGUCCGCGGCCGAUUAGCUAGUUGGCAGGAAAGCCUACCAAGGCAGAGAUCGGUAGCCGGCCUGAGAGGGCACACGGCCACACUGGCACUGAAACACGGGCCAGACUCCUACGGGAGGCAGCAGUGGGGAAUCUUGCACAAUGGGGGAAACCCUGAUGCAGCGACGCCGCGUGAGCGAUGAAGCCC
rnacentral:rRNA from 1 species